rnacentral:tRNA from 3 species
GGCUUUAUAGCUCAGUUGGUAGAGCAAGGGACUGAAAAUCCCUGUGUCCCUGGUUCGAUUCCAGGUGAAGCCACCA